rnacentral:rRNA from 1 species
UAGCGUAGGGUGCGAGCGUUUAAUCGGAAUUCUAGGGCGUAAAGCGUGCGCAGGCGGCGCGUUAAGACAGGUGUGAAAAGCCCCGAGCUUAACUUGGGAAUUUGCGCUUUGUGACUGGCGAGCUGGAGUGUGGCAGAGGGAGGUGGAAAUUCCACGUGUAGCAGUGAAAUGCGUAGAGAUGUGGAGGAACACCGAUGGCGAAGGCAGCCUCCUGGGCCAGCACUGACGCUCAUGACACGAAAGCGUGGGGAGCAAACAGG